ACAGAACAAGAGUCACUGGCUUGAGGGCUGUUCUUUGAAUUUCCUUGCUUGGCUAGAGGAAGGCAGGUGGGGUGGACUCCAGGAACCUGAACUGGAUGCAUUCUGAGGAGCAGCAGCCUGUGGUGAGGUUUCCUCAAAUACUUGUCCUAAGCCCCUCUUUGAGAGGAUCUAAGAAUGUGUGGGAAUGGAGGAGCCAGCCGGAGUGGAAGGGAUGUUCCCGCAAGAAGGUACUGAAAUGUCAAGCAAGUAAGCGAGCACGCAAGCACAAACUGCGCCUUUUCAUCUCAGCGGUGGUGAAGGCCUCGGCCUUCCCAGCUGGAUCUCUGGACGCUUCUCCUUCCAGAGUAUAGAAGACAAUGGGCAGCAGGGACAGAAUGGUGCUCUACGCCCCUGAUCGAGAAAUCAGGUUGCCUCCUUGAAGGGGUCUAAGAGCAUCAGCCAAGUUUUCUAAGAAGCACUUCUGUGAGACGCUAGCAUCAAAACGUGCCUUUUCUCAUGCAGCCCCAUUAGCUGCUCUCCGGAGCUGGUAUUGACACGUUAAUAGAGAGUUAUCCAUUGCCUUAGAAGCAAACACGUUUUGGGUAAACAUGGGGGCAGUGGGUGCCCCCGAGAAUUUUCACCAUCAGCAGAGGCCCUGAGAGUUGAAGCGAUCGCACAGUGCUGGCACUGAGCACAGCUGUCACUAGAAGCUGGCUUGUGUGGCACAGGUGACCCUUGGGAGGCAGCUCACUGUUAUCCAACUUACUGCACAACUGUGGAACUCGCACCUUCCGUGUAAAAGGCAUGAGCUCUCAUGUAAUUGUUAAAAUUUAAUUUUAAAAUGUUUUAUUAGUAUAUAUUUGCAUUGCAUAACGUUUACAUUCCUUGUGUGGAGUCAGCACAUGUACAUAAAUUUCAGGCAUAUAAUGUGUUAUUAUUGCUUAUGGUUAUGUGAUACAUUUGAUCUCCAGAACUUUUUCAUCUUCUUUCCUUCCCUUCCCUCUCCCUCCACCUCUUGACCCCCUUCUCAUUUAAGAAAGAUCUACAUUCUUACUUUCUAUUGUUUAUCCUUUAUUUCACUCUUCAUUUAUAUUUUGAGUUUCUCAUACAAGAGGAACUAUGUGAUUUUAAUGUCCAGAACAUGGAAAAUAUUUUUGUUCCCUCCCUCCUUCCUUUCCUUUCUUCCUUCCUUCCUUCUUCUUUUCUUUUUUACCUUU